CACGUAGGGGGCAAGCGUUAUCCGGAUUUAUUGGGCGUAAAGAGCUCGUAGGCGGCCGUUCGCGUCGGAUGUGAAAGCUCAGGGCUCAACUCUGAGAUGCCAUUCGAUACGGGACGGCUAGAGGUAGGUAGGGGAGAGUGGAAUUCCUGGUGUAGCGGUGAAAUGCGCAGAUAUCAAGAGGAACACCUGAGGUGAAGACGGGUUGCUGGGCCGACACUGACGCUGAGUGCGCGAAAGCCAGGGGAGCAAACGGG
rnacentral:rRNA from 1 species